rnacentral:rRNA from 1 species
UACGGGGGAGCAAGCGUUGUUCGGAUUUCCUGGGCGUAAAGGGCGCGUAGGCGGCCUGUGCAAGUCAGUUGUGAAAUCUCCGGGCUUAACUCGGAACGGUCAACUGAUACUGCUCGGCUAGAGUGCGGAAGGGGCAACUGGAAUUCUUGGUGUAGCGGUGAAAUGCGUAGAUAUCAAGAGGAACACCUGCGGCGAAGGCGGGUUGCUGGGCCGACACUGACGCUGAGGCGCGAAAGCUAGGGGAGCGAACGGG